rnacentral:lncRNA from 1 species
ACAAAAUUACCCAUUUGAAGCGCAAGGUGCGGAUCCGGGCUAUGUUGCGGGUUGACGCGCGGAUCCCCCCUUUUCAAACGGUGCCAUUUUAUUCUCAUAAAUAAAGAGAAACAAAAACCCUAAAACACUUAUUCAGCCUACUAUUCUUUCAAAAAGAAAGAAAGAAAAACUUAAAACCUUUCUCACCAAACUCUUUUAACCUCUCCUCUCUCUCAGUCGAUCCAUGGGCUUCAUCGGCCACUAAUGCACCUCCACCACCGCCACGAUUUUAACCAGAUCCACAAGGAUCUGUCAACCCUUGGAUCGGAGGAGCCAACAUCGACUAAAUCGACACCAAAAACAGUAAGUAAACCCUCAUUUUUUUAGAUUCGUCGAAUAGAUUCAAAAUAAAGGAAAAAAAAACAAAGAAAUAAUCCAUGAAUCACCUUUUGUAAACUGUUUUUGAAUUAAUUUCUCUUCUUUCAAUAUAUGCGUGUAUCCCCCCCUCCCGUUUACAAUAUACCAUCGGCCCCUUUUAUAACCAAAUAAUCAAAAAAAAUUAAUACAAAUUUCUUUUAUUUUUUUUGUUAUUGCUUUGAUGUGUUUUUUUGUUGUGGUUGUUAGUUUAUUGCAGGAGGAGCCAGCUGGAGGUGGUGGAGCACGUGGAGACCGAUUCCUUGCGAGGCUGCGGCGCAAAUUGGUCUCAGGGUUUCAGCUCUUGGAGCCGAAGUUUGGGCCAUCUGGGCUGUUUUAAGAGUGGGCUGGGAUUUGGGUUAUUUGUUUGGGUCAGUUUUUAUUUUUGGUUUGGGCUUCAAAAUUUGUAUUUGGACUUUAAGCAUUGGGUCUCUUAUGGCCCGGGCAAAAUGGACCUAUUACAUAAACAAUGUAUAUAUAUGGACUCAUGAGUAAGUUUAAUUAUAAAAAUUAAAUUUAAAAUAAUUGCUCAAUAUAAAUUGUGAUUUUUUUGAAGACAUAGAUUAUGAAAUUUAAGUUGUCAAUAUGUGAAUUGAAUUUUUUCUAAAAAUGUAUUCCUUAAAAAUUAUAAAGUGACUGAUUUAUAUGAAAAGUACGAAUCUAAAGCCUAUAUCUAAUAUAAUAAAGAAACAAAAUUAAAAAAUAUAUAUUAUUUUUAAAAUAAUUAAUUUCCACGUUGCAUACUAACUAAAAUCUAUAUUUCACAUACUCAAAAUAUAAUUUAAAUUUUUUUUUCUAAAUGUAUAUUUAAAAUAGUUGAGCCGCACUUUAAUUUGAAGGUCUAUAAUUUACUCUGAAAAAAGUUAUGAUUUAAGGAUAAUGUUCUUUCUUUUUUCUUGCACAACUUCUAGUUGUAUCUUUUAUCUGCUAUGAUUUAGAGUUACAUGUUGGAAGUCAGAGUUCAACAAUUGUCACAAAAUCUAGAGCUGAUUUAAUUUUUUUAUUUAAAUAUUGCUGAAUGAUUAAAUCGAAAACCGAUGGGUUGGUCAGUUUAAUCAUCAAUCUAGAUGUUACAAGAUUUGUGAAUUUUUUUUAUUUAGUCUAUAACAUCCCCACCUUAAAAAAAAGAGAAGAAGAAUAUUUAUGGUAAAAGUCAUUGAAUAAGUAAACUAUAGCAUGUAGUUAACUUAAAAAUUCGGCAUCGAGUUCAACGACUAAAUUGAAUAAAUUGAAAAAGUAAAGAGGCUAAAGUGCAAUUAUCCUAUUUUUUUAUUUUGAUGGAAAGAAUUUAAUGACAAUUUUACCAUUACUUAAAAAAUCAAUGGUUUCUUUUAAAUGAUUUUAUAGUAAAUAAAAUAAUAUUUUAAUAAGUAAUAAUACUUUUGAUAAACCAUAAUUUAUACAUAUUUUUACCCCAUGCUUAGCACAUUUUAUGGAUGAUUUCUCUUUAAAUAUAGGGAAUUCGAUGCUCAUAAUCCUUUAAUUUCAUGUUUUAUACUUAGGUGAGCAUAGAAGAGUAAAAAGACCGAGAAAUGCGCCAAAAACAAAGAAGGGCCAAUAUAGGAAAAUAGCACGGCCUAGAGUUCACCACACGGGUAGACCACACGCCCGUAUAGGUUCAACAGGCUUUAGCACGGCCUAAACCUCCGCACACGGGUUGACUACACGGCCGUGUCAAAUUGGUAAGAUCGAAGAACGACUUACACGGGUAGAUCACACGCCCAUGCCCAUUUAACAGCCUUGACCACGGCCUUAAGUAAUCGCACACGGGCGUGCCACACGGGUGUGUCCCUGCCGAGCCCAAGGUUAGUCCAAUUCAGAAAAGGGCACUUUUGAGGGCUUCUAAGCAUCUUAAAGCCUAUAAAAACACUCUAGAGGAGGAGGAGAAAGAGGGACGCGGAGUAGGAAGCAAGGAAUUACUCAAAGAAAGCCGAUUGAUCCAUCUCAGAAGCCGGAUUCAUCAUCAAGACUGAAGAUCUCCCUUCAAAUUUCUCUCAGGAGUUUUGGGUUUUCUUAUGUUUUGUUAUCUUUAUGCUUUUGAGAUGUUUUCUUUCAUAAGUAUGAACUAAAACCCCUAAAUACCUAAGAGGAAUGAAACCUAAGACCGAUCUUGUUAUUAUUAUCUGAAUUGUAUGAUAAAUAUUUGACUUGUUCUUAAUUAUAUGUUCUUAAUUCUUAUUUUGAUAUUCCAGGAUAUUGAUUCAAGUUAAUGCUUUUAUUCAGAGGAUGAAGAGAUCCUGUCUAAGAGUAAAUUCAUCGUAAUUAAGCGGAGUUUAUUGCGCGCCUAGAGAUAGGGUGACAAGAUUUUGUCUGAUUAGGGUGAAAACUAAUAAGGGAAUCUAUAGAUCGAGUUAAUGCAAUUCUAGGAAGUUAAUUAGAAAGAGAUUUCAAUUAUUCAACCUAGGGUUAAACGUUAUUAGUCUCGAGAGAGAUAAUAAUAUAACUUAGGGAUUUCUACAGAUCAAGUCCAAUGAAUAAAUAGUCUGAUUUAGAGUCAAAUAACAAGUGAAGUCUAGAUGGAUUUUUCCUUAGGUAUUGCCUUAAUCAAUAGAAUUUUUCCCAAAAGUAUUUUCCCAAGUUUUCUUUUUGUGCAUUAUUAGUUUAGUAAUUAGUUUAGAUAACCAAACCUCUUAAUUUUUUAGGCUAGAUAAUAAAAAGAAGGUAAAUACUAGUACUCGUAGUUCCUUUGGGUUCGACAAUCCGGUCUUGCUGAACUAUACUACUGUUCGAUAGGUGCACUUGCCUUAGUCAUGAUAAUAAGUUAGUCUCAAGAAUGAUUCAUUCAUAAAUCUUUAAAACCUGUCGCGAAUAUUACGUAUCAAGUUUUUGGCGUCGUUGCCGGGGAACUAAGAUAUUAGGAACACUCGAUUUUUAUUACUUUAGCCAUUUUACUUUUAUUGCAAUUUAAAUUUUUAUUUUCUUUUUUAAUUCUUCGUUUAUUUUCUUCUGACAUGUUUUUCUAGUUUAUGUCCAGAAGAAACCCGUCAAGACCACUACUUUUUGACGGUGAGAUCGACCGCACAGUUCAUAAAAACCAAAGGGAAAGAAGGCGAAGCCUAAGAUACACAGAGGACGAGGAAGAGGACGAUUCUUUAACCACAACCGAGGAGAUGGCUGAAAACCAAGAAAAUUCUCUACCUCCUGCAAUUGCUGGUGAUCCAGUAAAUCAAAAUCCUACUCCACGCACUAUGUAUGAUUAUGCUAAACCUAAUUUAACAGGAACUGAAUCAAGCAUAGUUAGGCCUGCUGUUGCUACAAAUAAUUUUGAACUGAAACCUAACACAAUUCAAAUGAUACAACAAUUUGUUCAAUUUGAUGGUUUGCAGGAUGAUGAUACAAAUGCUCACUUGGCAAAUUUCUUAGAGUUUUGUGACACUUUUAAAAUUAAUGGCAUUUCUGAUGACGCCAUUCGCCUUUGGUUAUUCCCUUUUCCAUUGAGAAACAAAUCUAAACAUUGGUUGAACUCGUUACCACGAGGGUCAAUCACUACUUGGGAACAAAUGACCGAAAAGUUUUUAUUAAAAUAUUUUCCACCGGCUAAAAUAGCCAAAUUACGUAAUGAUAUCUUCUCUUUUGUGCAGAUGGAUUUAGAAACACUCUACGAUGCAUGGGAGAGAUACAAGGACCUUUUGCGAAGAUGCCCUCACCAUGGGUUACCACUCUGGCUACAAGUUCAAACAUUUCACAAUGGCCUGAAUCCUUCGACUCGGCAGAUGAUUGACGCAGCCGCUGGUGGAACUAUCAAUAAUAAGAUACCUGAAGCGGCUUACAAAUUUAUUGAGGAGAUGUCACUAAAUAACUAUCAGUGGCAAGUUAUGAGGACAAAGCCGACGAAGGUAGCCAAUGUUUUCAACCUUUAUGCGGUUACUAUGCUAUCUAACCAAGUAGAACUCUUAAAUAAAAAGAUUGACUGUUUGUGUGGUUCUAUUUAGGUACAUCCUGUGAUGAGGUGCGAUUCAAAUGGAGGAAGAGCAUGCACAAAAUAUCAACCCUUCAACCCUAGUAUCAAGGACGAACAAGUCCAAUAUAGGGGUAACAAUAACUCUAGACCCUAAAAUAACCCGUAUAGUAACACUUAUAAUGCAGGUUGGAGGAACCAUCCUAAUUUCUCGUGGGGCGGUCAAGGAAAUCAAAGGCCACAACAUCCUCUGAGUUUUCAACAACCACCUUACCAGUAGGAAAAGAAGCCGAACCUUGAGGAGAUGUUAACAAAAUUCAUCUCGGUGUUAGAAACUUGUUUCCAGAAUAUUGAGACAGCCCUUAAGAAUCAACAAACGUCAAUCCAAGGGCUCGAAACUCAAAUAGGCCAACUUGAUUUUUGAACGACCACAAUGUAGUUUGCUGAGUAACAACUAUUCAAGAUGAGGAAGGGUUAGUUGCACCUGAACCAGAACCGAGGCAAGAAAUUGUGGUAAGUAAAGGUAAAGGUGAGGUAGACCACAAUGACCAGAAACCGGUACGUAAAGAAUACAAACCUCGUGUGCCAUACCCAAAUGCGACAAAGAAAGACCGCACAGAAGAACAAUUCGGUAAAUUCCUAAAAUUAUUAAAAAAAUUACAUAUUAACUUACCGUUUAUUGAAGCUCUUUCGCAGAUGUCAAACGCAGUCAAAUUCUUAAAGGAGCUUUUAAAAAAUAAACAGAAGUUGGAUGAGGCGUCGCAUGUGGAGUUGAAUGCAGUUUGCUCAGCCAUUCUACAGAAUAAGCUACCCAAAAAAUUGAAAGACCCAAUGCGUUUUAUGAUUCCUUGUUUAAUUGGUAGUUUAGAUGUUCAUAAUGCAUUGGUUGACUUAGGGGCAAGCAUUAAUGUUAUGCCUUAUAAAAUGUUUAAACAGUUAGGUUUUGGGAAACCCAAACAAACUAGGAUGAGCAUUCAAUUGGCUGAUAAAACCAUUAGAUUUCCUAAGGGUAUCAUUGAAGAUGUUCUUGUUAAGAUCGAUAAAUUUUUAUACCCAGUAGACUUUGUUGUUCUAGACAUGGAAGAGGAUAGUACGCACCUCUGAUUUUAGGACGAACAUUUUUAGUGAUUGCUAGGAUAAUUAUUGAUGUUGGCACAGGUGAACUCACACUUCGUGUAGGAGACGAAACAAUCACCCUUUAAUCUCGUAAUUCGAGUAACACAUCGAAAAUUGAAGGCGAUUGUAUAAAUCAUCCUACUAAAACUGACCAUGUGGUGCAACCUACUUUGCAGGAAAUAAGUUCGAAAAACCUACACGAGUCGUGUUCAAGCAACAUCACAGGACCUAUCUAUGAAGAACGAAGGCUACAAAUCGAUGAGCUAGAUGAAUGGUGGAAACAAAAAUCGAGAACACCCGAUAAACCAAAAUCGAGCCAUGACGAGCUCAAUGUCGCACCAAAUCAACUUAAAGUUGGAGACAAAGUACUACUAGAUGCAGAAGAUCCUCGCAUUACCACUUCUGAACCUAAUGAAGAAAUUACUCUUACGGUACUCAGUAUUUUCCCAUAUGGUACAGUCAAGGUAAUUCAUCCCAAAUUCAGCACCUUUAAGGUAAGCAAUACUCGUCUUAAACCUUAUACUGAUAAAAUUGAUAGAAGGGAUGAGUGUAAACUCCUCGCACCACCUUGACCAUGCAGAAGAGAGGUAAGUCCAGCUUAAGACUAUAAAUAAGCGCUUCUCGGGAGGCAAACCGAGCACUAACAGUAAUGAUUUAUUUAAAUUCUAGCUUUUCACAUCUAAUUUACUAACUAAAUCUUAAAAUACGGGGUUUUUCACUCCAGACAGCCAGGAAUACGGGCUUGCCUUAGGUCGUGCUCACACCAUAGAAGGAGACAUGGCCGUGCGAUACGAUCGUGUGAAAACAGGGUAAGAUUUUUCCCCAACACGGGAUGCGACACGCCCGUGCCAUCCACCCGUGGUCGACACUGUCAAAACGAACACGGAUGUGGACCUAAGAACACGAGCGUGGGAGAAGCGAAUGAAGAAAGACAUGACCGUACGACACAACCAUGUGCACCCACACGUCCAAGCAACACGGGCGUGGGCCGAAUGUCAGACACGCCCAAAUUCAAAAUUCGUGAAACACACGGGCAAAAAUUAGGCCACAUGGGCGUGUCCCACUGUCGUGUGCCCUAAAAUCUAUAUAAACCCCUCACUAUUCAUCAUCUCCCUCCCCAAAAAUCCCUAACCCUAGCCGCUGCAACUUCACACGCCCUACCCCCACGUCCGUGCGCCGUCUACAACACCGAUUCUGACGCACCAAGCUCUUUCCUUUUGCGUUUGUUUACUCUUUUCUCUCUAUUUUUCUUUAAAUAUGUUGCUUAUUUCAUGAUUUCUCUGCUCUAUUGAACUAUUUUGAAUGAAUAUUCAUAGUUAGAAUAUUAAAAUACUCAUACUUGUUUUAUAAAAAUUUUGUCACUUUAGUUACUACAUUAUGUUAUACUCUUUCAUUUUUCCUUGUUUCCAUAAAAUUUAUGCUUACCCACAUGCAUUCAUUCAUAUUCCCAUUACAUUAUUCCCAUAAUCAUAUAACUUGAUAUAUUUAGUUGUUUUAGUUUGUAUCAUCUAGUACGUAAAUCUCAUGAAAUAUUCAUAUUUAGUCUUGAUUUUCCAUACUAUUCUAGGGGCAUAUUGGUUAAACGUCGAUUUUUUUUCACUGCAGAUAUACUAUGUCAUCCUCACGAGGAAAGAAAACUGUUGUCCUCGCCUCCAAGAAAAGAAAAGGAGAAGCGUCAUCCUCUGGUCCUACCGCGGAGAUUCGCCACCCGUUCCUCUAGGUUCCCUUGGGAACCUAGGAGGAAUUAUAUCAGAUAUUAUGGGCCCAACCCCUAGGUGUAGGUCGCUGCAUUGACUGGGCCACACUUGAACAGAUUCAUUUGGCUGACGCGGUCUGAGCCCUCCUAACGACUGACCUGUGGGGGCUCUUCUUGAGAUUGUCGAGCCAAUGUAUCUCAUGUUCACAGUGGAACUCUGCUCGACGUUCCAUCUUCAGACCGUCAUGACCAACUUCGAUGAUCCAGGAACGGUCCAGUUCCACCUAUCGGACCCUCUGUAACUCGACUAGCUUGGCACUUUGGGCUCCUCAACACAGCAGCACAAUCAUCCUCCCUCACCCUCAUCUGCCAAAUGUCCCCACAGGGCAUCUCGAGCAUGAUAAGUAUGAGAAUGAUCGAGAAACGACGUGCCACCUACCCUCCUCAGUACCGCCUCAUCCAGUCCACCGAGGGGGAGGAUCCAGAGGACAUUACUGAUGAUGUCCCUCCACGUCAUGAAGACCCACCGUCUCAGCCACCACCCCCCUCUCAUCUAGUUCAUGCGGCAGCUUCAUACGCUGACAUCUCUAAACGCCUUACUCGAUUCGAGCAGUAGUGUUUUCAGCGCUUCGAUAACAUUGAUGCUACUCUACAGCAGAUUUUCCAGCACUUCCACAUCUCAUCGCCACCCCCACCUCGCGAACCAUCUAGCGAUGAAGAUGUUUAAAAACUUUUAUUUAUUAUUUUAUGUUUUUACUUUUAUUUUAUUUGAAGACUAUUUUUUCUUUUUCUUUAAGCUUAUUUUUAUUAGGUUUUAUAAUUAUUAUUUUACAAUUUUUAAUUUCGGCUAUUUCAUUAUAGUAAUUAUUCUUCUUUAUAUAUUCCCUAAAAAGUUCCUGAUUCUAUCACAAUUAUAAAGAGCUACAAAGCUCACUAUUACUUAGGAACUUGAAACUCCACUGGGUAAGGUUCUCCACGACUGCCAUGCCUUGCUCGACCAUGACCAUAGCUACCAUGAGAUAUAAUAUUCUUUUGGCGCAACACUUGUGGAACCUAACCUCUACCACCACCGGAGUAUCCUCCUCCACGCUCAUUAGUACCUUGGCCGAUUACUUUCCAAAACGCCAAUUCAAGGAAUCCAUUCAUAACUCAAGACGUUUCAUUUUGUUCCCUAUCUUAUGAUCUUAUAUUUACAUUUUUCAGUAUAUCUAUCUUUGUACAUUGAGGACAAUGUACAUCAUAAGUGUAGGGGGUUAUUUAUUUCUUUAUCAGAAAAAUCCAUGAUUUCUGUCUUAUUCUCAUGUGAUCUUCUCAUAUCAUUGUUAGAAUGAAUUUUGAUUAAUUUAUGAUUUUUAUUGAUAUGUCUUGAAUUAAAAUAUAGGCAUUCAUGCAUUGAUUUUUUAAACUUUAAGACAUUAUAGAAUCAAGCAUGAUAAGUUGAUUUUGAAUUUAAAAUUUUAUAAGUUGUUUUUCCCAAGUUUAGGUAUUAUCUUGAGUUGAAAUUCACAGGUUUAAACAUCAAAAAGCCCUAAUUUUUGUGAGAUUUUGAACCUUUAGAGCAUCUAUUAUUCCUUUCAUGCUCUCCUUUAUUGUUGCUUUGAGUGCGUCAUUAUUGAAUUGUUAUUCUAGAACUUACUUGAUUAUGCAUGCAUGUCAAGACCACACCAUUUGAUUUGAUAUGUCAAGAUGAUAAAGGCACUUAGGUUUAACCCACUCACUCUACAAAAACCUACCUUCAUAAUUAACCUUUAGUGAACCCCUUUGAGCCUAACAAACCAUUAAUUGAUUUACCCUCAAUAUUAACCCAUAACCCAUUAUUGUUGAAAUCCCCUAAUUUGAUCCCUAUUUUUGUCGAGAUUUGAUUUGAACUAAUUGCUUAGCUAUGUUUUGCUCUUCUAUGCAUUUGACUUGUUCUGAAAAAAAUGAGUGUACUUCAAUACAAAUUAGUUGUAAUUCAUCGUUUUUGAACUUGAAUGUUAAUUCCAUAUUCUGAGAAGAAGCUCACAUGUAUUCAACUGAUGACUAGUCAUUUUUCUAGAUAGGUAAUUUUUUAAUUCAAUCUUGAUUCUAAACUUUUCUUUCAGCUUGUCACCACACCCCCAAACCAAAGCCACAUUACAACCCUCUAAAAGACCUUUUUGAUUGAUGUAUCAGCUCAAUAUAUAGUGGUGGAGAUUUGAUUUUCAAGCAAGCCUAUGGUAAUAACUUUUCAUAUUGACUAAUGAGUGAUUUAAUUGAUGUCCUUAAAAACCUUGAGUGAUUUGAGUGAAUCUUUAGUGAGGAUGUUAAACUCUGUGGUAUUUUGAUCAAAGGUAAUCACUUAAAUGAGGGGAGACACCUAUGUUUUCGUGAUAAAAUGCUCAACUUGGAAUGUUUGAAACUUUGAUAUACUUUUAGUUGAAUUUUCAAUGUACAAAUACUUAUGGAUUAUUUUGAGAUAUUAUUGAUAGGGAUUAUAAAUUGAGAUGAAUUUAUUUUGAUUGUGAGCUGAGGAUUUUUCUUGAGGACAAGCAAAUGCUUAAGUGUUGGGGUAUUUGAUAAACCGUAAUUUAUACAUAUUUUUACCCCAUGCUUAACACAUUUUAUGGAUGAUUUCUAUUUAAAUAUGGGGAAUUUGAUGCUCUAAUCCUUUAAUUUCAUGUUUUAUAUUUAGAUGAGCAUAGGAGAGUAAAAGGACCAAGAAAUGGGCCAAAAAUGGAGAAAACGGGCCAACAUGGGAAAUUAGCACGGCCUAGAGUUCACCACACAGGUAGACCACACGCCCGUGUAGGUUCAACAGGCUCUAGCACGGCCUGAACCUCCGCACACGAGUUGACUACACAGCCGUGUCAAAUUGGUAAGAUCGUAGCACAACUUACACAGGUAGAUCACACGCCCUUGCCCAUUUAACAGCCUUAACCACGGCCUUAAGUAAUCGCACACGGGCAUGUCCCUGCUGAGCCCAAGUUUAGUCCAAUUCGGUAAAGGGCACUUUUGAGGGCUUCUGAGCGUCCUAAAGCCUAUAAAAACACCCUAGAAGAGGAGGACAAAGAGGGACGCAGAGUAGGAAGCAAGGAAUUACUCAAGGAAAGCUGAUUGAACCAUUUCAGAAGCUGGAUUCUUCACAAGACUGAAGAUCUCCCUUCAAAUUCCCUCAAGAGUUUUGGGUUUUCUUAUGUUUUGUUAUCUUUAUGCUUUUGAGAUGUUUUCUUUCAUAAGUAUGAACUAAAACCCCUAAAUACCUAAGGGGAAUGAAACCUAAGACGAAUCUUGUUAUUAUUAUCUGAAUUGUAUGAUAAAUAUUUGACUUGUUCUUAAUUAUGUGUUCUUAAUUCUGGUUUUGAUAUUCCAGGAUAUUGAUUCAAGUUAUUGCUUUUAUUUAGAGGAGGAAGAGACCCUGUCUAAGAGUAAAUUUGUCGUAAUUAAGCGGAGUUGAUUGCAUGCCUAGAGAUAGAGUGACAAGAUUUUUUCGGAUUAGGGUGAAACCUAAUAAGGGAAUCCAUAGAUCGAGUUAAUGCAAUUCUAGGAAGUUAAUUAGAAAGAGAUUUCAAUUAUUCAACCUAGGGUUAGACGUUAUUAGUCUCGAGAGAGAUAAUAAAAUAACUUAGGGAUUUCUACGGAUCAAGUCAAAUGAAUAAAUUGUCUGAUUCAGAGUCAAAUAACAAGUGAAGUCUCGGUGGUGUAGCAUAAUCAUAUAUAGUGCGCGGAGUAGGAUUUUGAUUAACAGCAAUCGCAGGAGGUACCGGAUUUUCUUAGUUUUCAGCCAUCUCCACAGUGGUGGUUGAAGUAUCUUUCUCUUGAUCCUCUAUGUAACGUAAGCUUCACCUUAUUUCUCUUUGGUUUUUGCGAAUUGUGCGAUCGAUCUCACUACCAAAAAGUAAUGGUCCUGACGGGUUUUUUCUAGUCAUAAACUAUAAGAACCUGCUAGAAAAAGGGAAAAAGAAGAAUUAGUAAUAAAAAUUAGAAAUAAAUUUAAAUUGCAGUAAAAAUAAAUCGCUAAAGUAAUAAAAAUCGAGUGUUCCUAAUAUCUUAGUUCCCCGGCAAUGGCGCCAAAAACUUGAUACGUGAUAUUCGUGACAAUUUUUAAAUAUUUAUGAUGAAUCAUUCUUGAAACUAACUAUUAUCACGAUGAAGGCAAGUGUACCUAUCGAAUAGUAGUAUAGCUUUAGCAAGACCGGAUUGUCGAACCCGAAGGAACUAAAAGUACUAGUAAUGACUGUCUUUUUAUGAUCUAGCCUAAGAAUAAUGGUGUUUGUUUUAGCUAACAAAUUAACUAAACUAAGAAUUCACAGAAAAUAGAAUUGGGGAAUUACUUUUGGAAAAACAAUUGAAUUAAGAAAAUACCUAAGGAAAAAUCCACCUAGACUUCACUUGUUAUUUGACUCUGAAUCGGACGAUUUACUCAUUUGACUUGACCCGUAGAAAUCCCUAAGUUAUUUAUUAUCUCUCUCGAGAUUAACAACGUUUAACCCUAGGUUAAAUAAUUGAAAUCCCUUUCUAAUUAACUCCCUAGGGUUGCACUAACUCGAUCUAUGGAUCCCCUUAUUAGGUUACACCCUAAUCCGGCAAAAUCUUGUCACCCUAUCUCUAGGCGCGCAAUCAACUCCGCUUAAUUAUGACAAAUGUAAUCUUAGACAGAGUCUAUUCCACCUCUGAAUAAGAGCUUAACUUGAAUCAAUAUCCUGGAAUAUCAAAACAAGAAUUAAGAACACAUAAUUAAGAAUAAGUCAAAUAUUUAUCAUACAAUUCAGAUAAUAAUAACAACAUCUAUCUUAGGUUUCAUUCCCCUUAGGUAUUUGGUGUUUUAGUUCAUAACCAAAAAGGUAAACAUCUCAGAAGAAUAAUGAAUACAAAACAUAAAGAAAAACCCAAAACUCCUGAAGGGAAAUUAAGGGGAGAUAUUCAGUCUUUGAUGAUGAAUCCGGCUUCUGAGAUGGAUCAAUCGGCUUUCCUUGAGCAGUUCCCUACUUCCUCCUCUCUGCCCCCCUUUUCCCCCUCCUUUAGGGUGUAUUUAUAGGCUUUGGAAUGCAUAAGAACCCUCAAAAUUGGCCUUUUCUGAAUUAGACUCAACUUGGGCUCGACAGGGGCACGCCCGUGUGCGAUUACUUCAGGUCAUGGUCAAGACUGUUAAAUAGGCACGGGCGUGUGGUCCACCCGUGUGAGUCAUGCUUCGAUUAUGCCAAAUAGACACGACCGUGUGGUCUGCCCGUGUGAGGAAGUCCAGGCCGUGUUGAUUUCGUAUGUUGGCCCAUUUCUCUUUCCUUUCACUCUCCUAUGCUCUCCUAAGUAUAAAACAUGAAAUUAAGGCAUUAGAAGCAUCGAAUUCACCAAAUCUAAGGAAAAAUCAUCCAUAAAAUGUUCCAAGCAUGGGAUAAAAAUACGUAUAAAUUACGGUUUAUCAGCCCUCAAAAAUGGACUUUCCGAAUAGGACUCUGCUUGGGCUCGACAGGGACACGCCUGUAUGACACGCCCGUGUACGAUUACUUCAGGCCAUGGUCAAGCCUGUUAAAUAGGCACGAGCAUGUGGUCUACCUAUGUGAGUCGUGCUUCGAUUCUGCCAAAUUGACACGGCCGUGUGGUCUGCCCGUGUGAGGAAGUCCAGGCCGUGUUGAUUUCGUAUGUUAGCCCAUUUUGUCCAUUUUUGGCCCGUUUCUCGUUCCUUUCACUCUCCUAUGCUCACCUAAGUAUAAAACGUGAAAUUAAGGCAUUAGGAGCAUCGAAUUCACCAAAUUUAAGGAAAAAUCAUCCAUAAAAUGUGCUAAGCAUGGGAUAGAAAUAUGUAUGAAUUACGAUUUAUCAUUUUACACUCAGGAGAGCUUAGAAUAGCAAAAAGAGCAAGAAACGGGCCAAAAACGGACAAAUUGGGCUUAAAACAGUGUUUCACACGGCCUAGGCACUUCCACAUGGGUAAACCACACGCCCGUGUGAGGCACACGAGCAGACCACACGCCCGUAUGUCAUGGUCGUGUCGACUAGAAACCAACUCAGAAUUACACACAGCUUAAGCAAUUGCACACGGGCGUGGUACACGACCGUGUCUCUGUCGAGCCCAAGUCUAGUUCUACUCUGAAAUGGCCAUAUUUGAAGGUUUAAAAGUAUUCUAAAGCUUAUAUAAACACCCUAGAAGAGGAUUAUUAAGGGGACAUAGAGCCAGAGGCAGAAAAUAUUCGAGAAUAGCCGUCGAAAUCACUGCGGAGAUAGGAUUUACAUCAAGAUUGAAGAUUUCCAUCCAAUUUCCUAGAAGUUCUUUAGGUUUCUUUAUGUUUUGUUGUAAUCUAAACUUUGAGAUGUUUUCCUUUAUUAUUAUGAACUAAACUCCCUAAAUACCUAAGGGAUAUGAAACCUAAGACGAAUCUUAUUACUCUUUGAUUUAUAUGAUAAAUAUUUGUUCUUAUUCUUAAUUGUGAGUUUAAUUCUUGUUUUAAUAUUCUAGGAUAUUAAUUCAAGUUUUUGAUGUGCUUAUUCAGUGGAGAAAAAGUCCCUGUUUAAGAGUAGAUUAUUCAUAAUUAAGCUGAGUUACAUGCAAUCCUAGAGAUAGGACGACAUAAAUCUACCGGAUUAGAGUCAAAUCUAAUAAGGGAAUCCAUAGAUCGAGUUAAUGCGACAAUAUGGGUUUUAAUUAGAAAGAGAUUUCAAUUAAUCAACCUAGAUUCAAUUGUUUUUAGUCUCGAAAGGGAUAUUAACAUAAAUCAGGGAUUUCUACGGAAUAAGUCAAGUGAAUAAAUUGUCUAAGUCAAAGGUAAUAAGUGAAAUCUAGGUGGAUUCUUUCUUGGGUAUUGUCUUCUCCAUUGGUUUUUCUAAAGUAUUUUCCAACUUUCAUCUCUGUCAUAAUCUUAGAAAAUUAGUUUAGUUUAAAAACACCCUUUAAUUCUUAGAGUAGAUAAUAAAAAGAUAGUAAUUACUAGUACUUUUAGUCCUCGUAGAUACGAUAUUUCCGGUCUCACCAUAACUAUACUACUGUUUGAUAGGUGCGCUUGCCUUAAGUCAAAUAUUUAGUUAGUUUCACGAUCAUUAGCCGAAGUUCGAUAAGCGUAGAGGGUAAAUGGUAACUUCUUUAUGUCAAUCUUUACAAGUCUCGGUCGCCUUUCACUAUGAUCUUUUUUUUAUUCUUCUUUUUAUUUUUAUUUUUUUUUGUACUUUUGUUUUUCUAUUUGGCAGCCCUUUGCUGCAUUGUGAUAUGGUGUCUGAUCUUUGAAUAGACUGCAAGCUUUUGACAUUGUGCAGUUGUAUUAAAUAUGAUUCUUUUUGACACUUGUCGGUACUUGAUUUUUUUUUGGUUGGUUUUUUCUUUUGGACUUUGAUAACUAUCGACUUGGUAACAUUGGCAUACGAAGUGACCUUCACCCUCUUCAUGAAGUAAUCGACGACUGCCAAGAUGAAUCAAUGUAUAUUAGAGGAGAAUGGCCUGAUAACAUCCAUGCCCCACAUAGAGAAAGUUUGUGAAGAAAUGAAUAAGGCACAUGAAUCUUGUCUCCCUAAAUACGGUCUAACUGAUACAAUUCCCUUCCAUGGUGGAUCAACAGUACCCGAACCUCAUGAUUAGCAUGGAUACCUGAAACCAUUAACAUGUGUCAUUCUAACACCCGUAUAGACAUUUUUUAGUGUCCAUAGGUCUUAAUAUCCCAGGUAUAUCUUGAUAUGAUUAUGUGAAAACAUCUUUGAAUUCUUGGAAUAACUCAAUGACAAUUCGCUUUGUCUUUGCGGUGACUCAGGCUUCGAUCUUUGCCUCUUACUCACAAUGUCCACUGACCCUUUUUAGAGUAGGAUCUGUUUUUCAUCUUAUUCUAUCGUCCUUAACAAAUCAGGAGAUAAGUCACAAUCUCUGUCAUCUUCAAAAUCUUGAGAUCCCCCUAAACACAUAUCUUACCCAAAAGGAGACUUUGAGUCAGUGACAGCAUCGCUCACGUCAUUAAUAUCUGGGGACCUAUUAUAGGUACGAAGGCAGAUUCCAAAGAAUAAAUGAUUCUAAGGAUGAUUAUUUGUAUGGUAUGAUCAUGAAUGAAGAAUAAAAGCAUAUUAAAAGACAGUCUAAAGAACAAAAUAAUAUAUAAAGAAUGAAAGAAUAUUUGCUCAAAAAGAUGCAUUUUAUUGAAAUAAAUAUUUUGAACACAAGCCUAUUUCACAAAAGGGUUCUUAUUGCUUCUAGGUUUAAAGCAACAAGCAUGUUUUGAAUAUUACUCUAGAUUAGCUCUAAAAAAAUAGGGAUCUCUUUUACAGUUCCAUUGUUCGAAACACUCCCAAAUAUACAAGGGUUUGGAAAUUUUUAUUCCCCGGUUCCCUCUUCAGAUAUGUCAUUCAGAUUCCCCGAUAUUCUUUCCAAGCUUUUGACUUGUUCAAGGCAUCGCAACUCUUUUGCCCCCACCUUCAAAUAUCACAUUUACUUCCUUGUCAGAGUGAUUAGGUUUAGAGGAAUCGUUGAACUUCACAAUUCCCAUUUCAAUGAACCUUUCGACCAACUUUUUAAAUGUAGGGCAGUUUUCAAUUGACUGCCCCGUUAUUCUCGCAUGGUACUCGUAUUGAGAAUUCUCAUUAUACCAUUUUGGGAACAGAGGUUGCACGGGUUCCAAGUAGAAAGGGGACACCACACGCACAUAAAAAAUAUUCUGAUACAAAUCCUUAUAUGACAUAGGUAUAGGUGUAAACUGGAGCUUUUCUAUAUUUGGCCUCGAGUUAGAUUCCUACCUUGAAAAGCCUCAAUAGCUAGUGGUUACAGCCCUUGACUGGUCUAUGCUGACCAAUUUGAAAGGCAUGCUCACGAUGUUCACUUCAUUCUCCUUGUUUCUCGGGGUUGACCUUUUAGCGCUUUCUCCCAUACCUAUCUUCCCACUUCUUACCGCAUUUUCAAUCAUCUCACCGGAUAUUACUAUAUCUAAAAAUCUCAAAGUAGUUCUUCCCAACAUAUGGUUAAUGAAUGGGGCUUUCAGAUUAUUAAUGAAAAGCAUUGUGGUCUCCUUUUUCCAGAAGAGGCGGUUGGACCUGUGUUGCUACCUCUCUCCAUCUUUGGGAAUAUUGCCUGAAACUCUCAUUUUGCUUCUUUUUUAUAUUCUGCAAGGUAAUUCUGUCAGGUGUCAUGUCUAUUACAUGGUUGUACUACUUCAUAAAAUCUUGUGCUAAGUCCUUCCAUGAAUUGAUUUUAGCACGACUCAAUUGAUUGUACCAUUUAGCUACUGACCUGAUCAGACUGUCUUGGAAGCAAUGGAUUAAUAGUUGGUCAUUAUUAACAUAUCCUGUCAUCCUUUGACAGAACAUUGUGAUGUGAGCUUCAGGACAACUAGUCCCAUUGUACUUUUCAAACUCUGGAAUCUUAAAUUUCGGCGGGAGUACUAGAUCAUGGACCAAACUCAGAUCCUUGGUGUCAAUCCCACAAUAAUAGUCAACAUUAUCCAUUGCCUUAAAAUUUUCCUCCAACCACCUAUAUCGAUCCUUGAGUUGUCUUGGCAAUUCCAUCUUUGCUUUUUCCAUUUCAUCCAGAUCAGAAACUAUAGGAGUGGUUGGAUUGCCACCUGGAUUGAAACUUGAGCCUAUCGGGUAAUUCACAGGUGCUGAGGUACCGGCUUGAUAUUUCUAGGUUCUAAUAAUAGGUACACCUUGCGGAGAUGUCUGAGCAUUUGCCGAGGUGAAACCUAGAGGGUAAAGAGGCCCUACAUUGUCCUCCCCAACAUUGAUAAUAAAGCUUUUUCCUUUUCCUAGCCCCUUAGUCAGCAAUUAGGACAACUGAUUCAUCAUAUUCCUUUGGGACUCUAGCACUUGGUCACUCAUAUCUUACCUUAUCUUCGCCAGUUGCUCUUGCAUUUGCAUUUGUAACUGGUCUUGCAUCUCUAUUUGAAAUUGUUCAAGUCUUUCCAAUCUUUGGUCCAUAUCUUUUGUCUUAGCACAAGUACCGUAACGAUGCUUGGUUGGUAAGUUUUUAUCGGUUUCCAGAUUAACUGAAAUGAUUUAAAUUAAUUAGGGUCCUUUCUGUGAAAAUCUAAUGCAAAUGAUGCAAUGCAAAUGCAUGGAAUGAAUGCAAAAGAAAGAAAGGCAUUGAUUCUAAAUUCAAUUCUAUUAGAACAACUUUUCUAGAAAACAAAUUCCUUUACAUCAAACGGAUUACAUAUGCGGCCCUGCCCUCAAAUUCCAGGCGAAGACACCGAUCCAUUUCUUUCGUAAAAGUCAAAUCUCGCAAACUUCCAAUAGAUGCCUCCACUAGCUCCUUUUUGCUUGAUCUAGGCCGCAACUUAUUACUCACUUAUCCUCGCGCUGCUUGUUAGCUCCUUUAAGAAAGUCGGGAUGUGACGGCUCUUGAAUAAUCUUUAUCGGCUUGAAUCCUCGGGCAAUAAAACAAAGUAUUGUUUUCCUCCGUGAACUAUCAGCCUUCCUUCGUUGUAUUUACUUGGACUAUAUUCAGACAACCGCAUUAUAAUCCACUUUAUCAAGAAAUUCAUUUUCCAUGACAAGCUAUUCAAUCAACACCUUCUUUCUAUGAUGAUGUAAUGCAAUGCAAUCAUAAACAAAACAAAAACAAAACAUGUUAGUACAGAAUAAAUAAAUAACAAAGCACCUACUCGGGUGACCACUAAAUUUGGGCACGGUUCUACCUAAGGUGAACUCUGAAGGUUCACUAUAUGCAGUACAGUUCUAAAGAAAGGGUACCUGAACCAACAGAUUCCUCGAUCCUCACCCAUUAUAGGCUCAAAUGGAUCAAGUUCAAAUUAGGGGAAUACAUUUCCUAUGGCCAUGCGGAGAUGAAAAUCUCACGAAGACAUAGGUACGGAUGUAUCCCGGAAGUAAUCCACUAGCCUAUGCGGAGAUGAAAACCUCACGAAGGCAUAGUUUCUCACUCCCACUUAAAAGGUGUGACCACAACGAUAAUGCAACGUAAUGCAAGAGUAUUCUACUAGAUCCAAACAACAGCAAUAAUGGAGAUCACAAAAAAAUGCAACAAAAGAAUCGUGAUUUUUCAAAUCAAACUUCCAAUUUUUUGACAAAAGGACAGAAAAUAAUCAAUUUUACAGCCUGACUCUCUUAUUGGUCCCCAGUGGAGUCGUCAAGCUGUAGAAACCAAUUUUUUAUUUUUAAAAACAGGGAUCGACUUUAAAACGAGGUAUGGAGUCGCCACCAAUCCUUUUUGUUUAGGUGUGAUCGGAUCACCUAAUAAAACAUUUAAUUUUAUUAAAAUAUCAAUUUAGCCUACGAAAUUUGAGAAAACGGGUUCGGGACUCGGUUACGUACAAGGAAGGAUUAGCACCCUCAUUUCGCCCAGAAUUGGCACCAAAUUGAUUAAAUAAUGUCCUUAUGUCUAAAAUUUAAAAAUAUUUUGAAAUACGAUUUCUUUUAAAACAUUUGAAUAACUAAAAUUGGACUUUAAAAUUCUCUUGUUUCGAAGGAAUACAAUAUCACAUCCUGCACAUUAAGACAUGAUCCUUUAAACCCUCGAAACCACGAUCAAUUCUUAAUUUCCAGAAGCUCAUACAUUUGAAAAUUACAUAAUGAUAUUCGAUUAUUUGGUCCAAUGAAAAAUCGAAACCCAACACGUUAGGGCACGAUUUCUCGGAUUUCCAAACAUAGAACAUUGCCUUGUUUUAAAAUUUAGAAAACACGGACGAAAUUUUAAAGGGAUAUUUGAUUAUUUUUGACAAACAGAAAAUCGAAACCCAGCACUUUACGGCACGAUUUCUCAAAUUUCCAAACAUCAAAUAUCGCAUUUGUUUUAUAAAACUGGCUCAAAACGCAUUAGUUUGACUUGAAAUAAAAUGGAAUAAUUAAUUUUGGAUCAAUAAGUUGAAAUUUUCAAUUGUAAUGUGACACUCGUGAAUGAAAGGCGAAAUUAUAAGCAUGGGACAAUAUACGUGAAUAAUGUACUAUACUUAGUGAAUGAAAAUAGCAUAAACAUAAAAACGAAUUAACAAACACGGAAUAGCAACGAGCUCACAUCCUAUUUUGAAAAACAUAAAUAAUCAAAAGAAUGGAAACUAAAAUACAACUCAUCAAAGAAACAUAUUAGAAUAAAAUAUAACAAAUUUUGAAACAUAGAUGAAUAACAAUUGAACUGAUAAUACAAAGGAUGAAUAAACAAUAUGCAAUAGUAAUAUAUGAAAUAAUAUGAAAGCUAAAAAAUAACACAUAAUAUACGAAGCAAUAUGGAAACUAGGAGUUAAUAUAAUGUAAAACCAUUCAAAAACUAUUAAAUAUAUGAAAAAUUUUAAAAUGAAUCACACAUGCUAGGGAUUGAAAUAAUUUACAUAUAAAUAUAUCAAUGAUUAUUGAAAUAUUAUGAACGAAGAAACUUGGAUCAAAUAAUGUACAAAAUAUAUUUUGAAAAUGAAACAUUUAUUUAAAGUUGACAAUAUACGUACAAUAAAAGAUAAUUUAAAUAAUAUAUAAAAUAUGAAAGGUUUUUAAAUAACAAAAAUAUAUAAUAAAAUAUGUUCUUAAGGAAUUAACUAUAUACAUAAUAGAUUUUAAAAUAUAUAUAUAAAUAUAUUUAAAAGAAAUUAUAUAUAUAAAAUAACAUGGAAUUAAUAAUGUAUAUAGAAUAAAACUAACUUUAUCAUGAACUAUAUAUGUAUAAUAAUAUAUAGGGACCUUUAAAUGAAAUAUUAUACAAAAUUUUGAAACAAUAUAAUAUACAAGAAUGUUUUAAAAUAAUAACGAUAUAACUUAAAAAAAUAAAAAAAAAAACAAAUGCAAGUAAAAUACCAAAUUGAAAUGAAGUAAAAAUAAUUAAAGUAAUUCAAAAUAUAUAUUUAAAUAAUUCUUAAAAGAAAUGAAUGCUAAGUAAAUAAGGAAAUAAAAAAAAUUACAUAUUGAAAUGAAAGAAAAAACUCAAUUGAAAUAAAAUCAAACUUAAAGGAUAGUCAAUAAAUAAAAUAGAACAUCAAAUUAGAACUAAGGAUCAAAGCACAAUGUGCGCAAAUUCGCAGGGAUUAUAUGUGUAAAUGAUCCAAAUCUCCAAAACGCAGCACUUAGGCGCAGACUAAAUUGUAAUAGCACACAAAUUUCAGGAAAAAUUUAAAAAACAAAUAAAAUGCAGAUAGGGGCUAAUUAAAAGUCGGUGCAAAGGAGAAGGACUAGCCACAAAAUUACCCAUUUGAAGCGCAAGGUGCGGAUCCGGGCUAUGUUGCGGGUUGACGCGCGGAUCCCCCCUUUUCAAACGGUGCCAUUUUAUUCUCAUAAAUAAAGAGAAACAAAAACCCUAAUACACUUAUUCAGCCUACUAUUCUUUCAAAAAGAAAGAAAGAAAGAAAAACUUAAAACCUUUCUCACCAAACUCUUUUAACCUCUCCUCUCUCUCAGUCGAUCCAUGGGCUUCAUCGGCCACUAAUGCACCUCCACCACCGCCACGAUUUUAACCAGAUCCACAAGGAUCUGUCAACCCUUGGAUCGGAGGAGCCAACAUCGACUAAAUCGACACCAAAAACAGUAAGUAAACCCUCAUUUUUUUAGAUUCGUCGAAUAGAUUCAAAAUAAAGGAAAAAAAAAACAAAGAAAUAAUCCAUGAAUCACCUUUUGUAAACUGUUUUUGAAUUAAUUUCUCUUCUUUCAAUAUAUGCGUGUAUCCCCCCCUCCCGUUUACAAUAUACCAUCGGCCCCUUUUAUAACCAAAUAAUCAAAAGAAAUUAAUACAAAUUUCUUUUAUUUUUUUUGUUAUUGCUUUGAUGUGUUUUUUUGUUGUGG